CGAACACGGAAGUUAAGCUCUUCAGCGCCGAUGGUAGUUGGGGGUCUCCCCCUGUUAGAGUAGGACGUCGCUAGGC
rnacentral:rRNA from 1 species